rnacentral:rRNA from 1 species
UACGUAGGGUGCGAGCGUUGUCCGGAAUUAUUGGGCGUAAAGAGCUCGUAGGCGGUUUGUCGCGUCUGCUGUGAAAACUCAGGGCUUAACCCUGAGCCUGCAGUGGGUACGGGCACACUUGAGUGCUGUAGGGGAGACUGGAAUUCCUGGUGUAGCGGUGAAAUGCGCAGAUAUCAGGAGGAACACCGGUGGCGAAGGCGG